UGACCCAGCACUUAAUCUUGGGGGUUCAUCUUGACCCAGGACGUACCAUGCAGUCCCAGGUAGUGUCUGUGGUCCGCACCACCCACCUACAUCUUUGGCGGGUUGCCUAGCUGCGCUCCUAUCUUGAUGUUGGGGCGCUCACCACUCUGGUCCAUGUGCUCUUAGUCUUGGGAUUAGACUACUGUAAUGUCAUCUACGUGGGGCUGCCCUUGAGACUGACGUGGAAACUACAAAUGGUCCAGAUCACAGCCGCCAUUUCCUCUACUCUGCAGCCUUACACAGGUUGCCCAUUCAUUUCCGCAUUUACUUCAAGGUAUUAAUGCUUACAUAUAAAGCCCUAAAUGGUUUAGGACCUUGAUACCUGACAGAGCGCCUGCUCCCACCUAGCUCUACUCGUGUCACUUGAUCUAGCCAGGCUGGGUGGCUGAGGGGCUUGACCCCGAGAGAGGCCCCAGAGGACAGAACUAGAAACCAAGCCUUCUCGGCAGCGGCCCCUCGCCUCUGCUUACCUCUUGAGAUUCGCCUGGUUCCCUUGCUGGGAGUUUUUAAGAACACGCUGAAGACUUGGUUCUUCAGGCAGGCCUUCCCCCCUUCCAUUUCUUAGCUCCCUAUGUCUUACCAUCUUGGACUUUCCUUAUCUCUGUGCUGUUUGAUAUUGUGUGUUUUAAAUUUUGCUUUAUAUUCGGAAUGUAAGCCACUCAGAGUAGAUUCAUUGAAUCUAGAUGGGGGGGGGUAAAAGCUGGGGGGGGGAAUAAAUAAAUAAAGUGCCACAAAGUCUUCUCUCUUUUUUUCUUUCUUUCUUUUUUGGGGGCAAAAUUUUGGUUGGUUGGUUUUGCGUUUGUUGAAAUGCUUGCACAGACUAACUCCGCUACAACUCCGAGUCUUAGGGAUUUAACUACCCGGAUCAUCUUCUCCAUCCUACAACGUUAGCUGGCUGCUGUGCCGCAGACACCGGCGGGCCGAAGCGUCCGCCGGUGCUGCCGGCCAGGGAGGAGAUUGGCAGCGUUCUGGGCUGGGACGUCUGGGCGAGGGCGGAGUAGGGGCCCUCGGCGUGCGGACCACAGAAGGCUGAGCCCCGCCUCGCUCGCUCGCUCGCUCGCUGGCUGUUGCCCCACGCCGAGGUGCACCUCUCGUGGGUGGCGGAGCCGGAGGGGCCUCUCUGGUUGGUGGCAGGAAUGGACAGGGGCCCGGCUGAACAUACAAGGAGAUAAGCGGCCCCCUGACCGGGAUGAUUCUCGGGGGGGGGCAGAACCGUCUUCAGGCAGGCUUUGGGGAGUAUUAUUCUGCAUAACUUUUGAUGAUGAUGAUGAUGAACGACGCUUAAGCUAA
rnacentral:lncRNA from 1 species